UACGUAGGGGCUAGCGUUAUCCGGAAUUACUGGGCGUAAAGGGUGCGUAGGUGGUUUCUUAAGUCAGAGGUGAAAGGCUACGGCUCAACCGUAGUAAGCCUUUGAAACUGAGAAACUUGAGUGCAGGAGAGGAGAGUAGAAUUCCUAGUGUAGCGGUGAAAUGCGUAGAUAUUAGGAGGAAUACCAGUUGCGAAGGCGGCUCUCUGGACUGUAACUGACACUGAGGCACGAAAGCGUGGGGAGCAAACAGGAUUAGAUACCCCCGUAGUCCCUGAGCGGG
rnacentral:rRNA from 1 species